GAUGAACGCUGGCGGCGUGCCUAAUACAUGCAAGUCGAGCGAACAGACGAGGAGCUUGCUCCUCUGACGUUAGCGGCGGACGGGUGAGUAACACGUGGAUAACCUACCUAUAAGACUGGGAUAACUUAGGGAAACCGGAGCUAAUACCGGAUAAUAUAUUGAACCGCAUGGUUCAAUAGUGAAAGACGGUUUUGCUGUCACUUAUAGAUGGAUCUCCGCCGCAUUGGCUAGUUGGUAAGGUACAGGCUUACCAAGGCAACGAUGCGUAGCCGACUUGAGAGGGUGAUCGGCCACACUGGAACUGAGACACGGUCCAGACUCCUACGGGAGGCAGCAGUAGGGAAUCUUCCGCAAUGGGCGAAAGCCUGACGGAGCAACGCCGCGUGAGUGAUGAAGGUCUUCGGAUCGUAAAACUCUGUUAUUAGGGAAGAACAAAUGUGUAAGUAACUAUGCACGUCUUGACGGUACCUAAUCAGAAAGCCACGGCUAACUACGUG
rnacentral:rRNA from 1 species